GUUUCUAGUAAAAGUGACGCGUCCUUAAUUUGUUUAAUACUGAAAUAAUUAUUCGUCCGUCGCUUAUUUUCCUCUAUUUUAGCGCAGUUAGAAUUUUUAAAUGACAAUAGUAUUGUUUGUGUAAUCAUUAUAAUGUGUAUAUACUAUGUGUUAUUUUAAUAUAAUAACAUGUGGAUUGUGUUAUUGUUAAAUUUUAUAAUUUAUCAAUAGCACUGUUUUAUUGUUGUGUUCUCAGCAGUUUAUGUUUAUAGAGUGUUCCUUUAAUUAAUUUAAUACUAAUAUGUGCAUAGUGUGUUAUUACCAGUUCUAGUGCAUAACAUAACCUUAUUUCUCUAUGCCAGAAUUAAUACAAUUAUGCUAUAUUAACUUAGUACAAUAUAAUAAUUUUUUAUCUUAAUCGCGUUUGUCGUUGAUACUCAGUUAAUCAGUUUUAAUUAAUUCAUAAUCUACUCCUAUAUUAUUGGCUAUUUUCUGUUUCUUUGUUAUGAAGUUGUCGUUACCUUGUGCGUGUAAUUUGCCGCCUUUACAUAGAAUUUUGGAGCUAAUCUAUACAUUGCUAGUUAAAAUCUUUAUUGUUUAUAGGUUCUACAAUUCUAAUCCUCCAACGCUGAGUCCUUUACUUGGAACAGUUACAUGGUGCGCGUUUGGUAUCUUCUGGUUCUUCAUUACAUGUCUAACACUUAUCAAGACUACUUUUACUUAUCCUAGAAUUCUGGCUGUCGUAGAUUAUGUUCUACGGAUAUGGACACAUAACCUGUCUUCGCAUAUACACUUUCUUCUACGAUGAGUAAUUGUUCAUGAGCUGGCUGUCGUAGAUUAUAUUCUACGGAUAUGGACACAUAACCUGUCUUCGCAUAUACACUUCCUUCUACGAUGAGUAAUUGUUCACGAGGUUACCACUGUCUGCAGUAUUCGACAAGCAGUGUUGUUCCAUAUACUACCGUACUCUGUUGUCUCUUGAAAUCGUUCUUGUGGUCUGUUUCGAUUGUGUUAGUUUUAACUUGUUCGAGUGUAUUGUUCAUGGAAUCCCUUUUACUUUAAUCUUGACGUUUUGUGUGUGGAUUCUGACAAUAGUGCCUAGUUUAUUGAAGUGUGUUAAUAUGCCUAGGUGUUUUAUAUAUUUUAUAUCUAGUUGUAUAUAAAAUAUAUUUUGUUUAUUGUGGUUUUGUAUGUCCAUAUUUGCUGUAUAUUAAAUUGCUUGAUAUU